CUGCACCGCCGCGGCGCGGGCCCGGGCUGUCACGGGUGUGGUCGCCAUCGGGGUGUGGCAGGCGAGCCCGUGCUGCGGCGUGCCUAUGUUAUCCUCUGGCAUGACAUCACAAUGCUUUGUGACAUCACUGCAUCACAACCGCAGGGCAUGGUGUUGCCGCUGCAGUGACAUCUCAGGACAAUCGGAUGUCGUCGUCACAACAGGAGACGACAGCGUUGUGUGGUGACAUAGCCGUGUGGUACUGAAACGUGAUUGCAGCUGAUUCCUGGCCCCAUCAGUCAGCCACUAGAAAAUAACACUGAACAGUAUGCAAAGUCCCCGUGACAUAAGCUAGCAGAGUGGAGCCUCACAGGAACGGUUGGAGUGGAGCUGAGCAACUCACAGGUCGGUGAGCAGGGCGGAGCGGCUGGAGAAGCAGCGAGCAGAGCGGAGCCUUGUGGGAGCGGCCCAAGGAACAGCUGAAGUGGAGCAGAGCUGAGCGGCUCACACGUCGGUGAGCAGAGCGGAGCAGCUGCCAGAGCCGUUCGUGGACGGCGGGAGCGUCUCACAGGACAGCUGGUGGAGUGGAGUGGAGCAGCUCGUGGAGAAGGCUGCGGCGGAACCCCACGGAGAGGCAGCCAGUCGGCCUCGGAUCACGUAAGGUGUCCCUUAACACCCUGCGUGCCUUUCCCCCCCCCCCCCCCCAGCUUGAACUCUGGGGCUGCACUGACCAGGGACAGAGACUUUGGGGGGUUGUUGGACUUUUGGGACUUUGGUGAUCCUUGGGUUGCUGGACCCAAGAGACUUUGGGGUUGUUGGACUUUUGGGACCUUGGUGAUUCUUGGGUUGCUGGUUUCAAGAACCAAAGGGAAAGGACACAGCCCAAUUUGCUGGGGUGGGUUUUUUGCUCAUGAAGCCUGUUUGUGUUGUUUUUCCAAUUUAAUGCUGAUGUCGUUUACCUCAUGUUAUUAAACAUUUUCUGUUA